UAGGGAGUAGUUUAAAGAAAACAAAUAGCUUCGAACUAUUAAAUCUUAGUUUAAUAUAAACCUAAGCCCCCUAU
rnacentral:tRNA from 1 species